UACGUAGGGGGCAAGCGUUGUCCGGAAUCAUUGGGCGUAAAGAGCGCGUAGGCGGCCCUGUAAGUCCGCUGUGAAAGUCAAGGGCUCAACCCUUGGAUGCCGGUGGAUACUGCAGGGCUAGAGUCCGGAAGAGGCGAGUGGAAUUCCUGGUGUAGCGGUGAAAUGCGCAGAUAUCAGGAGGAACACCGAUGGCGAAGGCA
rnacentral:rRNA from 1 species